GAUGAACGCUGGCGGCGUGCCUAAUACAUGCAAGUCGAGCGAACAGACGCGGAGCUUGCUCCUCUGACGUUAGCGGCGGACGGGUGAGUCACACGUGUAUAACCUACCUAUAAGACUGGGAUAACUUCGGGAAUCCGGAGCUAAUACCGGAUAAUAUAUUGAACCGCAUGGUUCAAUAGUGAAAGACGGUUUUGCUGUCACUUCUAGAUGGAUCCCCGCCGCAUUAGCUAGUUGGUACGGUAACGGCUUAGCAAGGCUACGAUGCGUAGCCGACCUGAGAGGGGGAUCGGCGACACGGGAAGGGGAACACGGACCAGGGUCCUACGGGAGGCAGCAGAAGGGAAUGGUCCGCAAUGGGCGAAAGCAUGACGGAGCAACGCCGCGUGAGAGAUGAAGGUCUUCGGAUCGUAAAACUGGGUUAUGAGGGAAGAACAAAUGUGUAAGGAACUAAGCACGUCGUGACGGUACCUGGUCAGAAAGCCACGGCUAACUACGUG
rnacentral:rRNA from 1 species